rnacentral:rRNA from 1 species
UGGGGAAUAUUGCACAAUGGGCGCAAGCCUGAUGCAGCGACGCCGCGUGAGGGAUGACGGCCUUCGGGUUGUAAACCUCUUUCAGCAGGGACGAAGCGCAAGUGACGGUACCUGUAGAAGAAGGACCGGCCAACUACGUGCCAGCAGCCGCGGUAAUACGUAGGGUCCGAGCGUUGUCCGGAAUUACUGGGCGUAAAGAGCUCGUAGGUGGUUUGUCGCGUUGUUCGUGAAAACUCACAGCUCAACUGUGGGCGUGCGGGCGAUACGGGCAGACUUGAGUACUGCAGGGGAGACUGGAAUUCCUGGUGUAGCGGUGGAAUGCGCAGAUAUCAGGAGGAACACCGGUGGCGAAGGCGGGUCUCUGGGCAGUAACUGACGCUGAGGAGCGAAAGCGUGGGGAGCGGAACAGGAUUAGAUACCCUGGUAGUCCACGCCGUAAACGGUGGGUACUAGGUGUGGGUUUCCUUCCUUGGGAUCCGUGCCGUAGC